AUUGAAUUUGUGUGUUUCGAGAGCUUUAAACAGUUUAAGCUAAUCAGUGCAAAGAAUUGAAUCGAUUCUUGUACUCCGGAAUUUACAGUGAAUAUAUUUGACUUUCUUUAUUUGAAGAUUCAGAGUAAUUUUACCUUAGAAAUGACUAUGAAGAAAAUAUUCUACAGAGACACUUAAAUGCACACUGUUAUUUCCAGUCAUAGAGCAGAUUGGAUACCCUGAGUCCUUAAAAAUGCUAGAUACGAAAAGGUGUUUUAAAAUACUAUAUAUGUGUUGCAAGAAAGCAAGGAUAUUUGUUUUAGCUCAUACUGAGCAUGACUGGAAAAGUAUUCUAGUCCUUCUAUGUAUUUGGUGUCUAAACUCACAAUCUGUGUGGUCUGAAAAACUGCAAGCCAAGAAUUCAAUUCUAAUAUAAAGUGGAUCUUGGUUGACAGCGCUCACAGGUGUCAAGCAACAAGCAGUGUAAAUUAAUUUACUCUUUGAAAUAUCUCCAGUUGGUCCUCAAAGAAUUCCCAUAGAUACAGGUCCACCAAAUAUGAGCUUACAAUAAAAAAUUACAAAAUAUGUACAGAAGCAAGGCACCAUGCAUGAGAGCUAGUGGAAACUAGCAGAACAAAACCCUCAGACACUUCAAGUACUGGAAUUAGCAGAUAGCAUAAAGUACAUAAAAUAAAAGAAGCAAUUGAUAAUAAGAAUAAGGUAUAUGUUAAGAGGCUAUCAAAUGACUGGGCAGUUUCUAAAAAGUGAAGUCAUAGAAAUGAAAAUAACUAAAACUAAAAACAGCUAAAGAGCAAUGUUAAAAAAAUUACCAGAAAUCAGAACAAAGCAUCAAAGGGAAAAUGAAUAGAAGUUAAGAUAGAAUGAAAAGGUCAGUUUGAACAUAUUUUCAGAGGAGAUAAUAGACAAAAUAUUUGGAUUCUUUUACACUGGUUAGAGACCAUGCCUCGGAUUCUGGAAAACAUAAUGCAUCUGUAUCAGAAUAAAGGAAAAGAAUUUGGCAUUGAGCUGACAUACGUAGCAAAGCUGCACACUUCCUAAAGUCAGAGCAGCUCCAGGGAAGAGAUUGGUUUACCAUACAAAGGAAAGACCAUUAUACAGACAGCAAUGGUAAAAGCAAGAAAACUUCAAAGUACCAAGAGAAAAUAUUUAUGAACAGUAAUGAAUAGAUACACUGCCUUCUCAAUAAAGGCAGUGGUUCUUAACCUGCUUGUGUAUUAGAAUCAUCUGAGGGAGGUUUUGUUGUAUACUAUGCUGGGACCCCUUUUUCCCUAGAAUUUCUUAUUUAACAUGGGAUGGAACCGGGUCAUACCAAGUAAUUUGAGUCUACAGCUGGGCUUGAGAACCACUCCUUAAAGGACUGAGUUUUAGGCGAAGCAAAAGGUUUCUAGGAGAAAGGUCUCAGAUACAAGAAAACAUGGUAAACUAAGACAAUGGUAAAUGGCUAAAAUUCAAACAAACAUGGAGUAUAUAAUAAAAAUAAUCUGUAAUUUUUGUUGUUUUAUUUAAGAAGCACUGUGAUAAUACAUAACUAAUAGCACGUAAACCACAAGGGGAUUGGUUGGAGUUAAAGCUUUUAAAAAUGAUUGUAUUGUUUGCCAGGAGGCUAGAGAGAUUAAUUCUCCUUUGUUAAAUAUGCAUGCUAACAUUUAAGGGGAACUACUGAAAGACUAAAAACGGAGGGUUUAACUUCAAAACCAAGGGGAAAUAAAGGAGCUGGGAGAAGUCAUCAGCUCACAGUGUAAGAAAGGAGAAAGAAGUGGAAGAAGUGGGACAGGUAGAAACUACUGAAUAAAAUGGUUGAAAUCAGCCAUAUCAUUAACCCACAAUUAAUUAAAAGGACUAGCAUCUCUAGUUAAGACAUAGAUUGUCAAACUAGACUGAAAAGUAAAAUCUACCUAUAGUCUCUUUACCUGUGAAUUGAAGGGGUGAAAGUAAGAGAAUGGAAAAAAAAUAUACCAGGUAAAUAAGCCCCCC